rnacentral:lncRNA from 1 species
GGUAUAAUAAAAUUUGAAGUUUGGACUCUUUUGAUCAUUAUUAUUUUUCUGACUGAAUAGAAAAGAUUGAGGUUAUCUAUUGAUAUUGACGAUUAUUCUACAAAAGAUGGAUUGGAGUUAUUUAUAAUUUAAUUUGAUAAUGAAUCGAUUAAUUAAGAGUUGCUAAUGUUUAGAUAAAGAAAAUUGAUAUACUUACUUAGAAAAGAUACAUUGAUUUUGAUUAUAAGAAAAAUAUAGUUUUGAUUUAAAUCAAUUUUUGAGUUAUUGAUUUUUAUUAUGGAAUGACUUAAUGAUAAAAUUUGCUUCAAGAAUUAGAAUAUUUAAGAGUUUGAGGGUUUGAGUA